GACCCGUCUUGAAACACGGACCAAGGAGUGUCACACAUAUGCGAGUUUGCGGGUGGAAAAACCCANAGGCGUAAUGAAAGUGAGUAUAAGAUGUGAAACCUUCAAAUAGGGGGUUGCAACAUCGACCGACCUUGAACAUUAGUGAAGGGUUUGAGUAAGAGCAUAUUUGUUACGACCCGAAAGAUGGUGAACUAUACUUGAGCAGCCUGAAGCCUGAGGAAACUCAGGUGGAAGGGCGCAGCGGUACUGACGUGCAAAUCGUUCGUCAGACUUGAGUAUAGGGGCGAAAGACUAAUCGAACCAUCUAGUAGCUGGUUCCUUCCGA
rnacentral:rRNA from 1 species